UGUGAUUUCACUUUCAAACUCCUAAUAUGCC
rnacentral:piRNA from 1 species